rnacentral:rRNA from 1 species
GGUUUACCUGGCGCGACUCUAAAUAAGUCUACGGUCAUUGCAAGUCAGCGCCUCGGCGCUGGCGACACUUUCGAAUUGCGGGGACACCCUAAAGCCGGUCGCACCAACCCGCGGUAGGAAACUGCCCGGGGGCCUGUGGUAACUACACAGGGGAUGGUAAAAGACGACCCGGAUAGUUCUGCUAUGCAGAGAGGAUGGGCAAUCCGCAGCGAAGCCCCUACGUCCUAGGCCCUAGGAUACGGGGAACGUUCACAGACUAAGUGGAAGUGGGUGGGAUUGUGAAUCCUGCUUAAGAUAUAGUCGGGCCCCCUCGGAGACGAGGGGGGUGAGUACACUGCUUACUAAAACCGUUCCGUAGGUGAACCUGCGGAAGGAUCAUUACCGAGUGAGGGCCCUCUGGGUCCAACCUCCCACCCGUGUUUAUCGUACCUUGUUGCUUCGGCGGGCCCGCCGCAAGGCCGCCGGGGGGCAGCAGCCCCCGGGUCCGCGCCCGCCGAAGACACCUGUGAACGCUGUAUGAAGAUUGCAGUCUGAGCGAUUAGCUAAAUCGGUUAAAACUUUCAACAACGGAUCUCUUGGUUCCGGCAUCGAUGAAGAACGCAGCGAAAUGCGAUACGUAAUGUGAAUUGCAGAAUUCAGUGAAUCAUCGAGUCUUUGAACGCACAUUGCGCCCCCUGGUAUUCCGGGGGGCAUGCCUGUCCGAGCGUCAUUGCUGCCCUCAAGCACGGCUUGUGUGUUGGGCUCUCGUCCCCCCGGGGACGGGCCCGAAAGGCAGCGGCGGCACCGCGUCCGGUCCUCGAGCGUAUGGGGCUUCGUCACCCGCUCUGUAGGCCCGGCCGGCGCCUGCCGACGACCACAUCAAUCUUUUUCCAGGUUGACC